rnacentral:rRNA from 1 species
GAUGAACGCUGGCGGCGUGCCUAAUACAUGCAAGUCGAGCGAAUGGAUUAAGAGCUUGCUCUUAUGAAGUUAGCGGCGGACGGGUGAGUAACACGUGGGUAACCUGCCCAUAAGACUGGAUAACUCCGGGAAACCGGGGCUAAUACCGGAUAACAUUUUGAACCGCAUGGUUCGAAAUUGAAAGGCGGCUUCGGCUGUCACUUAUGGAUGGACCCGCGUCGCAUUAGCUAGUUGGUGAGGUAACGGCUCACCAAGGCAACGAUGCGUAGCCGACCUGAGAGGGUGAUCGGCCACACUGGGACUGGGACACGGCCCAGACUCCUACGGGAGGCAGCAGUAGGGAAUCUUCCGCGAUGGACGAAAGUCUGACGGAGCAACGCCGCGUGAGUGAUGAAGGCUUUCGGGUCGUAAAACUCUGUUGUUAGGGAAGAACAAGUGCUAGUUGAAUAAGCUGACACCUUGACGGUACCUAACCAGAAAGCCACGGCUAACUACGUGCCAGCAGCCGCAGUAA